UAGACAACCAACAGCAUCAUGAAGACAAAGAAGCUUUCAAAACAAGUCCAGGACAAAAUUCUGAGGGGAAAAGAAAAAAAAAAAACAAGGACGAGUUGCUUUUUGAGUCUGGUUCCUCGAGGUCUUAAGAUGGGGACGCUGACUUACUCUUCUGUUGUUGUAGCCUGUCCACCUCAAGCAUUGCUGCUGCUCCUCUGCUCAACAUGGGUGUAAUGUGUAGAUAUUUUAGGUACUGUGUUUUUCUUCUCCUCUGACCUCUUUCAGUAGAUGUUUCUAUCAAAAGUGCCACUCACAGGGUUGUUAUUUGUGCACCAUUUUGUGGUUUCUGAAAUGCUCAAUACUGGACAUUAUGUACCAGCAAACAUGCUGCAGCCAAAAUUACUGAAAUUACUUGGAUGUUUUUAUGCAUUGAGCUGCUGUCAUGCGAUUGGCUGACUAGAUUAUUACUGUAGUAAAGUGUAAUGAAAAUUACUAUUAAAUGCUUUCUGAUUAAUCUAACACCUUUUAAUAUACCUAGGUUUAAGAAGGAUUUCUUUCCAUCAGCAGCAUAAGUUAAUAGUUUGUCAAUGUUUGCUCAGUGUCUUUUUGUAGUUAAUCCUGAUUUCAUCUGUUUAUUUUUAUUUUUGUCUUCCACCAAAUCUUCCAUAUGCU